CAGUUUUAGGAGACAAAGCAGAUUUGUUCUUUGGUGUUUUAAUUUUCAGGACAACAUUUUUAAGUUUUGAAAUUUGAACAGGCUUAGGACUUGAACAACUGGAUAACAUCAGAAGGUUAUUUGUCAUUAAUGCUAACCGCUGUUUACCUGGCGAGAAGCUGAAGUGACAUCAUUGUUCUCACUGAGCCUGAAGCUUUUUGGACUUUUUCUGCGGACUUGGAUCCUCUUAGCAAGUUAAAUGUUUUAAAUAAAGAAAAAACCACACAUGGGCUUGGAGUUUCUUAAAAACUGAACACCAAUUCUGAUUUGAAGCAUUAAAUACUGAAUUAGCUGUGAGCUACAGUAAGUGUAGCAUGUCUAGGGCAACCGUUUAAAUAACCGCGUCUUUAUGUUUAUGUCAAAACUUGCUUUGCAGGAACAUGGAAAUACAAUGUAAGUUUUUAACGGAUCUGUUCAAAUAUAAAAAUGUUAAAUCUCUUUUCUUUAACAAAUAUUUGGUUUGGUUUAUUUUAUGUUGCUAAGAAUUAGUAAAAGUGUACAUGAUGAAGACUAUGACUUGAUGUUUCCCAGAGGUCACAGUAUGUCUGCUUUAUGCUCACUGUUCACUAACUUGGUAUUUUUUAAUCCAUUUCCCGGCCGUUAGCUCCAUCCUCUGCACCUGUUCAUAUUUUGAGCAGGUGAUGCAUAUCGCGAUUCUUUCCCCGAACCCUCCCGAGGCUCUGAGCGCUCUAAAAUCCCUUUGACAAAAGCAUUUGUAAGCAUCAAAGUCUCUUCGACAAAAUAAACCCAGAAAGAAUGUUUUAUCAGGGCACCAAAGAGGGUUAGUGUAGUUUUUCACGGGGUUAACCAUCUCCAAAUGGUCGGGGUGGCAGAUUAGAAGUGAAGGGCGUGCUCCUGGGCGAGAGAGGGGAGAGUGGAUGAGAGAGCGGCCCUAAUGCGGCAUCUCAUUACAACCUCUGUCAGGAUCCCUCUAUUCUACCAUCAUCUCCCCUUAACUUGGUAAAAGCCCAACUGUCGCUUCGAGUCCACCUCCUGGUCGCCGUGGAUAGGUUCUGGCAGGUUCAGGCCCUCUGUUUUUCUCCCAGGACCUUUGGAAUCAGAAGAUUAAGAUCCAGCGCAUGAGUUGUGA